GACAGAGGGUGCAAACGUUGUUCGGAUUUACUGGGCGUAAAGCGCGUGUAGGCGGCUUUGCAAGUCGGAUGUGAAAUCCCACGGCUCAACCGUGGAAGUGCAUCCGAAACUGCAUCGCUCGAGUCUCGGAGAGGAAGGUGGAAUGCUUGGUGUAGAGGUGAAAUUCGUAGAUAUUGGGAAGAACACCGGUGGCGAAGGCGGCUCACUGGCUCGUAACUGACGCUCAGGCGCGACAGCGUGGGGAUCAAACAGG
rnacentral:rRNA from 1 species